rnacentral:rRNA from 1 species
CUUUCCCUCUUGCUUUAGGCCUAACACAUGCAAGUCGAACGGCAGCACAGUAAGAGCUUGCUCUUACGGGUGGCGAGUGGCGGACGGGUGAGGAAUACAUCGGAAUCUACCUUUUCGUGGGGGAUAACGUAGGGAAACUUACGCUAAUACCGCAUACGACCUACGGGUGAAAGCAGGGGAUCUUCGGACCUUGCGCGAUUGAAUGAGCCGAUGUCGGAUUAGCUAGUUGGCGGGGUAACGGCCCACCAAGGCGACGAUCCGUAGCUGGUCUGAGAGGAUGAUCAGCCACACUGGAACUGAGACACGGUCCAGACUCCUACGGGAGGCAGCAGUGGGGAAUAUUGGACAAUGGGCGCAAGCCUGAUCCAGCCAUACCGCGUGGGUGAAGAAGGCCUUCGGGUUGUAAAGCCCUUUUGUUGGGAAAGAAAAGCAGCAGGUUAAUACCCCGCUGUUCUGACGGUACCCAAAGAAUAAGCACCGGCUAACUUCGUG